CACUCUGUAACUUCCAUCUCAAUUAAUUAGUAAAUUGUUUUCACUUACCUCUCUAUUAACUAACCAUCGACACAAUAAAGGUCCAUUUGCACAAAGCCACAUUUUCAAAAUGUAAACAAACUUAACCUUUUCCACCUGUCGUUAAACACCAAUUUCGUAUGCGGCUUUCAAGAACCAAGUGCGCGCUCUCGGAGGAUCUUUGCGAUAAAUUCAAAAUUUUUCAUUUUCUUUUACAUAGACCGAUAUGGGCCACGGUUCGCGCCACGAAAACGGGCAGGGAGAAGUCGUCUGACUUUCCAACAACCUUCCUUUUCCGCUGUGGUACUGGUCGAGUACGGAUGCUCUAGUGAGAAUUGUGUGAAAAUCUACCUUGUCUAAAUUUACCUUUCCCGAUCUCGGGACUAUCGACUUACACAUUUUCGUACCGUCCGUAUUUAAAUACCACAUCAAUUUCCUUCGUCGCCCUCACAGAGGGAUCUACGCUGGGGUCGAACUAGUUCCGGAGCGUUUCUGCACCUGUAGCUAUCGGAUAACCCGGAUCUAUACAAGCUUCAAAGCGAGCCGUUGAGCCUUCCCUUGCACCAGCACUUCGGCAACCAGUAGAAACGCCUGGAUCGCUCGUACCCGUCCGACCUUGAUAAGAAACCAUCGACGAUAAGUACCUCGUAUUUUUUUGUUACGAUUUCCUUGAAGUCGCGUUGCGUUGGUCCAUAGUGCGGGAUUUCAAGCUUAUUUUCUCUCUAGUUUACUCUGUCUCUCCUUGUUUUAAUUUGAAUCUUGAAUUUUUUAUUUUAUUAAUUGCUAAGUUUCAUGUGAACAUAUCACAGCUGUGAAAUGGCCAUUCAAGACAAUUCUGUUUUCGUUUUAUUUAAUAUUUGACUUCAAUAUAAAUUUAAUUUUGUUGGAAACCGACACAUUAAUUUAAUUUCAACUAAUCUUAAUUAAAUUUUUUGUUACACUUUA